AUUAGAGUUUGAUCCUGGCUCAGGAUGAACGCUAGCGGCAGGCCUAAUACAUGCAAGACGAACGGUAACUUUGAUAGCAAUAUUGAAGCUAGAGUGUCGUAAGGGUGCGUAACACGUAUGCAAUCUGCCCUCAACAGGAGAAUAGCUCCCCGAAAGGGGAAUUAACACUCCGUAAUAUCUUGGUGAGGCAUCUCAUUAAGAUUAAAACUCCGGUGGUUGAGGAUGAGCAUGCGCAUGAUUAGUUAGUUGGCGGGGUAAUGGCCCACCAAGACGAUGAUCAUUAGGGGAACUGAGAGGUUGAUCCCCCACACUGGCACUGAGAUACGGGCCAGACUCCUACGGGAGGCAGCAGUAGGGAAUAUUGGACAAUGGGUGCGAGCCUGAUCCAGCCAUGCCGCGUGCAGGAAGACGGCCUUCUGGGUUGUAAACUGCUUUUGCCAGGGGAUAAAAAGUCCCUGCGGGGAAAAUUGAAGGUACCUGGUGAAUAAGCCACGGCUAACUACGUGCCAGCAGCCGCGGUAAUAAU
rnacentral:rRNA from 1 species